UGGAUAAUCUGCCCUGCACAGGGGGACAACAGCUAGAAAUGGCUGCUAAUACCGCAUAAGCCUACAGCCUCGCAUGAGAGAGUAGGAAAAGAAAUUCGGUGCAGGAUGAGUCCGCGUCUGAUUAGCUAGUUGGAGGGGUAAGAGCCCACCAAGGCAACGAUCAGUAGCCGGCCUGAGAGGGCGACCGGCCACAUUGGGACUGAGACACGGCCCAAACUCCUACGGGAGGCAGCAG
rnacentral:rRNA from 1 species